CAUGCAAGUCGAACGGUGAAGCCCUUCGGGGUGGAUCAGUGGCGAACGGGUGAGUAACACGUGAGCAACUGCCCUCCACUUCGGGAUAAGCCUUGGAAACGGGGUCUAAUAGCGGAUAUGAGCUCUGCCUGCAUGGGUGGGGUUGGAAAGUUUUUCGGUGGGGGAUGGGCUCGCGGCCUAUCAGCUUGUUGGUGGGGUAAUGGCCUACCAAGGCGUCGACGGGUAGCCGGCCUGAGAGGGCGACCGGCCACACUGGGACUGAGACACGGCCCAGACUCCUACGGGAGGCAGCAGUGGGGAAUAUUGCACAAUGGGCGAAAGCCUGAUGCAGCGACGCCGCGUGAGGGAUGACGGCCUUCGGGUUGUAAACCUCUUU
rnacentral:rRNA from 1 species